AACGAACGCUGGCGGCAGGCGUAACACAUGCAAGUCGAACGGUUGUAGCAAUACAGCAGUGGCAGACGGGUGAGUAACACGUGGGAACCUUCCUAGGGGUACGGAACAACUCAGGGAAACUUGAGCUAAUACCGUAUACGUCCGUGAGGAGAAAGAUUUAUCGCCCUUAGACGGGCCCGCGUCGGAUUAGCUAGUUGGUGGGGUAACGGCCUACCAAGGCGACGAUCCGUAGCUGAUCUUAGAGGAUGAUCAGCCACACUGGGACUGAGACACGGCCCAGACUCCUACGGGAGGCAGCAGUGGGGAAUAUUGGACAAUGGGCGCAAGCCUGAUCCAGCCAUGCCGCGUGAAUGAUGAAGGCCUUAGGGUUGUAAAGUUCUUUCACCGGAGACGAUAAUGACGGUAACCGUAGAAGAAGCCCCGGCUAACUUCGUGCCAGCCGCCGCCGUAA
rnacentral:rRNA from 1 species